rnacentral:piRNA from 1 species
UGUAGACGUAUUUUUUUAGUG